rnacentral:rRNA from 1 species
UACGUAGGGGGCAAGCGUUGUCCGGAUUUAUUGGGUUUAAAGGGUGCGUAGGUGGCCCGUUAAGUCCGGGGUGAAAGCCCACUGCUCAACAGUGGAACUGCCCUGGAUACUGGCGGGCUUGAGUCCAGACGAGGUUGGCGGAAUGGAUGGUGUAGCGGUGAAAUGCAUAGAUACCAUCCAGAACCCCCGAUUGCGUAGGCAGCUGACUAGGCUGGUACUGACACUGAGGCACGAAAGCGUGGGGAGCGAACAGG